GUGAGUCAUCGAAUCUUUGAACGCACCUUGCGCCCUCUGGCUAUUCCGGAGGGCAUGCCUGUUUGAGUAUCAUGACGCCUCAACUCUCACGGCUUGCGUGAUGAGCUUGGACUUUGGGGGUCUUGUUGGCCUGUGAGCCAGCUCCUCUUAAAUGAAUCAGCUCACCAGUGUUUGGUGGGUACCAUGGGUGUGAUAACUAUCUACGCUUGUGGUUUCCCACCAGGUAACCCUCAGCAGUUGGAGGUUCAUUGGAGCUCAUAGAUGUCUCUCCUCAGUGAGGACAGCCCUUUGAAUGUUUGAUCUCAAAUCAGGUAGGACUACCCGCUGAACUUAAGCAUAUCAAUAAGCGGAGG
rnacentral:rRNA from 1 species